rnacentral:rRNA from 1 species
CCUACGGGUGGCAGCAGUGGGGGAUAUUGCACAAUGGGGGAAACCGUGAUGCAGCGACGCCGCGUGUGGGAAGACGGUGCUCUGGAUUGUAAACCACUGUUCCCAGGGACGAAGAUGACGCUACCUGGCGUGAAAGCUGCGGCUAACUACGUGCCAGCAGCCGCGGUAAUACGGAGGGACCGAGCGUUGGCCGGAAUUACUGGGUGUAAAGGGAGCGUAGGCGGAUAUGGAAGUUGGGGGUAAAAACUACCGGCUCAACUGGGAGUCGCCCUCAAAACUGCAGCUCUUGAGUGAAGUAGAGGCAGGCGGAAUGCCGAGUGUAGCGGUGAAAUGCGUAGAUAUUAGGCGGAACACCAGUGGCGAAGGCGGCAUGCCGGGGUUGUACUGACGCUGAGGCUCGAAAGUGUGGGGAGCGAACAGGAUUAGAUACCCGGGUAGUC